UACAGAGGUCUCAAGCGUUGUUCGGAUUCAUUGGGCGUAAAGGGUGCGUAGGCGGCGCGGUAAGUCGGGUGUUAAAUCUCGGAGCUUAACUCCGAAACUGCAUUCGGUACUGCCGUGCUUGAGGACUGGAGAGGAGACUGGAAUUUACGGUGUAGCGGUGAAAUGCGUAGAUAUCGUAAGGAAGACCAGUGGCGAAGGCGGGUCUCUGGACAGUUCCUGACGCUGAGGCACGAAGGCCAGGGGAGCAAACGGG
rnacentral:rRNA from 1 species